rnacentral:rRNA from 1 species
UGGUGGGUUGCCUUGUCAGGUUGAUUCCGGUAACGAACGAGACCUCAGCCUGCUAAAUAGUCCCAGUCGCUUCUUGCGGCUGGCAGACUUCUUAGAGGGACUAUUGUCGUUUAGGCAAUGGAAGUAUGAGGCGAUAACA